AUUGAACGCUAGCGGGAUGCCUUACACAUGCAAGUCGAACGGAUUGGCGAACGGGUGCGUAAUGUAUCGGAACGUGCCCAGUAGCGGUGGAUAACUACGCGAAAGCGUAGCUAAUACCGCAUACUUUUGCAGCGGCCGAUAUCGGAUUAGCUAGUUGUUGUGGUAACGGCUCACCAAGGCGACGAUCCGUAGCUGUUUUGAGAGGACGACCAGCCACACUGGGACUGAGACACGGCCCAGACUCCUACGGGAGGCAGCAGUGGGGAAUUUUGGACAAUGGGGGAAACCCUGAUCCAGCCAUCCCGCGUGUGGGAUGAAGGCCUUCGGGUUGUAAAGCACUUUUGGCAGGAAAGCGGUACCUGCAGAAGAAGCACCGGCUAACUACGUGCCAGCAGCCGCGGUAAUAC
rnacentral:rRNA from 1 species